AAUCCAUGUUGCGGGCACUUUCUCAGGACCUCCUUGAAAAUUUCCCACGUCUCGAAUAUAUACUCCAAUUCCAAUUGUACAAAGCGAUGAGAUCUCAUUCCUAGCUU